UGUUCUUCAUGGACUUGUGAAGUGAAUCCUCUAGGUUCCCCUACUUGGUGCUCUACGGCUUCCGUUUGGCUGCGCCGUAUUGUGUGGAUUAGUUCCGGAUUGUGGUUCUGCGGUCGUUCGAAGAUCGAGUCGAAGUCUUCGUGGUUUCGGUGCCUCUCUCCCCAUCGCUUGGUCGCAUCCAACCUUUGUCAGGUAUAAAGCUAGUUACCCGCUGUUCGCAGCAAGUUAUCCUUGUUCUUUUGAUCUACUGUCGUGAAGAUCGGGCCACCCUCGUACCGAUACAUAUCGGUAACCUAUCAACCCAGUUUAAAGAAAUCUUCAUAACUUUUUAAUCACAAAAGCUAUGAAGGCCCAUGAGGACUUGUUGGAAAGCUUGUCGAGUCUACUUUCCAAUGAAUCUAGUGGCGGCC
rnacentral:lncRNA from 1 species